UGGGGAAUUUUGGACAAUGGGCGCAAGCCUGAUCCAGCCAUGCCGCGUGCGGGAAGAAGGCCUUCGGGUUGUAAACCGCUUUUGUCAGGGAAGAAAUCUUCUGAGUUAAUACCUCGGGAGGAUGACGGUACCUGAAGAAUAAGCACCGGCUAACUACGUGCCAGCAGCCGCGGUAAUACGUAGGGUGCAAGCGUUAAUCGGAAUUACUGGGCGUAAAGCGUGCGCAGGCGGUUUUGUAAGACAGAGGUGAAAUCCCCGGGCUCAACCUGGGAACUGCCUUUGUGACUGCAAGGCUUGAGUGCGGCAGAGGGGGAUGGAAUUCCGCGUGUAGCAGUGAAAUGCGUAGAUAUGCGGAGGAACACCGAUGGCGAAGGCAAUCCCCUGGGCCUGCACUGACGCUCAUGCACGAAAGCGUGGGGAGCAAAACAGGAUUAGAUACCCUGGUAGUCCACGCCCUAAACGAUGUCAACUGGUUGUUGGGAAGGUUCCUUCUCAGUAACGUAGCUAACGCGUGAAGUUGACCGCCUGGGGAGUACGGCCGCAAGGUUGAAAACUCAAAUGAAUUGACGGGGUCAUAGCUGUUUCCUG
rnacentral:rRNA from 1 species